UACGAAGGGGGCUAGCGUUGCUCGGAAUUACUGGGCGUAAAGCGCACGUAGGCGGCUUGUUAAGUCAGGGGUGAAAUCCUGGAGCUCAACUCCAGAACUGCCUUUGAUACUGAGAGUCUUGAGUAUGACAGAGGUGAGUGGAACUGCGAGUGUAGAGGUGAAAUUCGUAGAUAUUCGCAAGAACACCAGUGGCGAAGGCGGCUCACUGGGUCAUUACUGACGCUGAGGCACGAAAGCGUAGGGAGCAAGCAGG
rnacentral:rRNA from 1 species